rnacentral:rRNA from 1 species
AUGACUAGGGAUAACCUUAGAAAGAGACACAUCAUCAAACCCCUUGAUUGUGUUUACUGCUUGGAACAAGAGUCUUGUUCUCACCUAUUUUUUGAAUGUAUAGUUGCUAAACAUCUCUGGGCCCACAUUGAGGAAUAUUUCUCUAGUCAGAUUGGCUCAUCCUUCGAAUUUGUCGCUAGAUUCUGGAUUGCUACCAAAAAGUGCUCAGUUUUAAACACUAUUAGCUCAGUUGUCCUUUGGCUCUAGAAAUACAGAAAUGCUAUGAUUUUCAGUAACACCUCCUGGAUUUCCAUUCCGCAGGUCUUGAGGUUGAUCAGGAACAUGGUGAGGAACUGGGCGAUUCUCUCCUCCGGAUCGGACAAGGACAAGUUGACGAGCUUCGUGGAAACCCUAACAAGAUCCCUCUAG